UUAGAAGUGGUUGAGUGGUUUAAAACGACGCUUUGCUAAAGCGUUAAAUGGAUUUGUCUAUUUCGUGCGUUCGAAUCGCAUCUUCUAAA
rnacentral:tRNA from 3 species